AUUGAACGCUGGCGGCAGGCCUAACACAUGCAAGUCGAACGGGAACAGGAAGAAGCUUGCUUCUUUGCUGACGAGUGGCGGACGGGUGAGUAAUGUCUGGGAAACUGCCUGAUGGAGGGGGAUAACUACUGGAAACGGUAGCUAAUACCGCAUAACGUCGCAAGACCAAAGAGGGGGACCUUCGGGCCCCUUGCCAUCGGAUGUGCCCAGAUGGGAUUAGCUAGUAGGUGGGGUAACGGCUCACCUAGGCGACGAUCCCUAGCUGGUCUGAGAGGAUGACCAGCCACACUGGAACUGAGACACGGUCCAGACUCCUACGGGAGGCAGCAGUGGGGAAUAUUGCACAAUGGGCGCAAGCCUGAUGCAGCCAUGCCGCGUGUAUGAAGAAGGCCUUCGGGUUGUAAAGUACUUUCAGCGGGGAGGAAGGGAGUAAAGUUAAUACCUUUGCUCAUUGACGUUACCCGCAGAAGAAGCACCGGCUAACUCCGUG
rnacentral:rRNA from 1 species